rnacentral:rRNA from 1 species
UACGUAGGGUGCGAGCGUUGUCCGGAAUUAUUGGGCGUAAAGAGCUCGUAGGCGGUCUGUCACGUCGGCUGUGAAAACUCGGGGCUUAACCCCGGGCCUGCAGUGGGUACGGGCAGACUAGAGUGCGGUAGGGGAGAUUGGAAUUCCUGGUGUAGCGGUGGAAUGCGCAGAUAUCAGGAGGAACACCAAUGGCGAAGGCAGAUCUCUGGGCCGUUACUGACGCUGAGGAGCGAAAGCAUGGGGAGCGAACAGG